UUGCUCGGGUUUCUCUUCAUAACGCACAAGUCUUUCGCUUUACUAAAGACUUCCGUGGAGAGGACGCCAUGAGUUACGCCUAUUUUUGGCAGGCUUUGCCGUCCGGCCG